rnacentral:rRNA from 1 species
AUUGAACGCUGGCGGCAUGCCUUACACAUGCAAGUCGAACGGCAGCACGGGAGCAAUCCUGGUGGCGAGUGGCGAACGGGUGAGUAAUAUAUCGGAACGUGCCCAGUCGUGGGAGAUAACGCAGCGAAAGCUGUGCUAAUACCGCAUACGAUCUACGGAUGAAAGCGGGGGAUCGCAAGACCUCGCGCGAUUGGAGCGGCCGAUAUCAGAUUAGCUAGUUGGUGAGGUAAAGGCUCACCAAGGCGACGAUCUGUAGCUGGUCUGAGAGGACGACCAGCCACACUGGAACUGAGACACGGUCCAGACUCCUACGGGAGGCAGCAGUGGGGAAUUUUGGACAAUGGGCGCAAGCCUGAUCCAGCAAUGCCGCGUGCAGGAUGAAGGCCUUCGGGUUGUAAACUGCUUUUGUACGGAACGAAACGGUGAGCUCUAAUACAGUUUGCUAAUGACGGUACCGUAAGAAUAAGCACCGGCUAACUACGUGCCAGCAGCCGCCGUAACAC